ACAAGCGGAGGAGCAUGUGGUUUAAUUCGAUGAUACGCGAGGAACCUUACCUGGGCUCGAACGUAAGAUGACUGUAGGUGAAAGCUUACAUCUCUUCGGAGCAUUUUACGAGGUGCUGCAUGGUUGUCGUCAGCUCGUGCCGUGAGGUGUCGGGUUAAGUCCCAUAACGAGCGCAACCCCUACCUUUAGUUGCCAUCAGGUUAAGCUGGGGACUCUAAAGGAACUGCCUACGCAAAUAGUGAGGAAGGCGGGGAUGACGUCAAAUCAGCACGGCCCUUACGUCCAGGGCUACACACGUGCUACAAUGGCCGAUACAGAGGGCAGCUACCUGGUGACAGGAUGCAAAUCUCCAAAGUCGGUCUCAGUUCGGAUCGGAGUCUGCAACCCGACUCCGUGAAGUUGGAUUCGCUAGUAAUCGCGCAUCAGCCAUGGCGCGGUGAAUACGUUCCCGGGCCUU
rnacentral:rRNA from 1 species